AGAUCUCUAAAGAGAUGUGCAGAUAUCCAUGGAAAAGAAGCUUGAGCGCUCAAGAAUCUUGUCUUUAUGUUUGCCCCCUCAAUUGAGCCACACAAAAGCUGAAUUACCCAUUCAAACUACCCGGACAAAAGGAUGGAGUUGGAUAGUACUCUUGCAUCUGUAGUCAAACAGUUAGAGGCUUAAAUCGAGUCGUCAUGAUGGAGAAAGAGUUAGACAAAGCCCAUAGAAUUGCCAUCAGCAAACAUUUUCCUGUGUCAUAUUAGUGGGUCUCCAUGACUCCCCCUGGCCUGGGGACAAUAGCACAAGUUUGCACACUCGACUACUGUCACCCUGCCAACGCUGGCAAUGAGCAGAAACAGGACAAUCCUUUAAGGGGAAAGCAUGCCCACUGCAGGGAAGCAUUUUUCCAAUACCAGUGACUGCCAAAGAGAAGAUGUAAUUCAGUCAAACAGAUGUUGAUUAUUGCAGAUUUGCUUCAAAACAGUUUUUCUCAAAUUUGCCUAGAAGCUCAUCUAGCUGCUGAAAAAAUUCAAAGACCAUCCCUCGGCCAAGAAACAGAGAUGAGCACCGAACCCUAGAGUCAGACACGACUGACAGGGAAACAUUUUCCCUUUUUACCUUUAGCUAGAGACUAAGGAAAAAUCUAUUUAAGAAUCUUUAUUUUAAAUUCCUGUUCUGCAAAAGUUGGAAAACUGACUUUUCUCCAAUUAUCCCUGAUCAAUCAGAAAAUAAAGUACUUAAUGUUCUUUUCCAGUUAUUCUGAA